UACGUAGGGAGCGAGCGUUAUCCGGAUUUAUUGGGUGUAAAGCGUGUGUAGGCGGUUUUUUAAGUCCAAGGUUUAAUCCCGGAGCUUAACUCCGGUCCGCCUUGGAAACUGGAUCACUCGAGUGUGGUAGAGGCAAAUGGAACUUCUAGUGUAGCGGUAGAAUGCGUAGAUAUUAGAAGGAACACCAGUGGCGAAGGCGAUUUGCUGGGCCAUUACUGACGCUGAGACACGAAAGCGUGGGGAGCAAAUA
rnacentral:rRNA from 1 species